GAAUAGUCUUUAUUUCUGAAGGAAUAGUCUUCAUUUAUGAAGGAUUGUCCAAAACGUCUAAAACAAAGCAAGUAAGAAGUAAAACUGUUACAGAAAAAGUAUGUUUUUGAUUUGAGAUUCAUAAUAAUAUGUUUGGUGAUGUGUUUAGCAACCUGGUCAUGUGAUGUGCACUGCAGACUGUCAUCAUAGUAGUCCCCAGUUCCAAGCUUGCUGUCAUACUGUACUGUCCUGCAGGGUGUGUAGCCUAUAAGUAACACAUGAAACCUAUCAAACAAAAGAUGAGAUUUUGUGAGUGCUGAAUAUUUGGGUUAGUUUCACUGUUGAUGGGGUUUUUAAUAGUGAGCCUCAUCAGAUUUUUCACAAUAUACUUUGAUAUCAAAUCUUUAUCAUUGUGCUUACUUAGCUGAAAUUGAUAUUUGAUACUUGGUAAAAUUAGUAAAUCAGGAUUUAUUUCAUUACAAAAGAGUAUUGUGAAAAUGUUGAGAACUAAUUGUUUAAGAUCAUUCACAGACUUAUGCAAAACAUUUCAUUUCUUUUACCCUUUCAUCUAUUUUUUUUUUUGUUACUUAAUUCUGUUUUGUACUUGACCAGCUGUAUUCAGCUUAUUUAUUUGAAAAUAUCCAUCAACUAGACUUUUUCUCCUCUUUGACCAGUACAAUGAUUUUUGCCCCCUCCCCCCCCCCCCAAACCACCGGUCAUGUGUCCCUAAGUCCUUGCAUAGAGAAAUACAAUGUGAUCUUUUUCAUAGUUGAAAGAUUUCUUUAUUUUAUUUUUUAAUGUAACAUAUGUUUGAGUCUCACCUCAUGUAUCAGCCUGAACAAAACCUUUGCAGAUGUUGUGAGUCUCUAGCAAGGAAGAGAAUUGGUUUUUUGUCUGAUGUAUUUACUUAAUGUACAUCCCUGUGAGAAACUAAAAGAGAUUGCACUUGCUGUACUUUUGUCUAGUUUUAUAAAAUGGUUGCUAGACUUUGAUCUGAAUGAACAGGUAUUUCUACCCAUUUGCAAACAUUCAUAUGGGUGUGCACCUGUUUUAGUUUGGCCAUUUGUUGUAAAUAAUAUUAUUUGCUGUUAUGAAAAUAAAACACAAAUAGUGUUCUGAUUAGUGUAAUUAAUUGUUACUAUUUCUGCUGGGGUGGUGUGAUUGCCAUGCAGGUUGUAAUGUUCACAGGCAGGUGGUUGGAUUUCAUUUAACUAAUUGGAGUUAGAACUAGAGUGUCUAUUUAGUGCAUUUACUGGUUCUCUGUGACAUUUCUGUGUUUGGAUGUCCAGUACUAGUUAGUAUGCCAAUGUCCGGUACUGUUAUUUGGCUGGAUGGUGUGAUUGGCAUUGUUUGCUGGUUGAUGUCUGUUGAUUGGUCUCUUCAAUUGGAUGUGUCUGCUGGUUAUUUGGCUGGAUGGUGUGAUUGGCAUUGUUUGCUGGUUGAUGUCUGUUGAUUGGUCUCUUCAAUUGGAUGUGUCUGCUGGUUAUUUGGCUGGAUGGUGUGAUUGGCAUUGUUUGUUCGUUGAUGUCUGUUGAUUGGUCUCUUCAAUUGAAUGUGUCUGCUGGUUAUUUGGCUGGAUGGUGUGAUUGGCAUUGUUUGUUGGUUGAUGUCUGUUGAUUGGUCUCUUCAAUUGGAUGUGUCUGCUGGUUAUUUGGCUGGAUGGUGUAUGUUGUUCUCUUACAUUUGAUGUGUCAACUGCUUUGGUUUAUCAGCACAUUGUUUGUAUAUAACCUUGAUGCCCUAACAUAGCUUUAUGCAAUAGAUCUACAUAUGUAUGAAACUUGCAACCUCUUGUGUAUCCAUGUGACAUUUUUGUUUCCAUUGUCAUAUCAAUGGCCAUGUUACCCAGACAUGUUGCUUCCCCUUACUUAAGUUGCUUCUUAACACUUUUUAAAGACAACAUUAGUUUGUGCAAAUGUUCAUUUUAUUGUUAUUAUUUAGUCAAAUCAAAUCUAGCAUUGACUGAUUUCUAAUCCCAUGUUUUGUUAGGAAAACACAAUAGGAAAUAAAUUUCUAAUUUCAAAUGUAAAGUUCUUUUUAAAUGUUCAAAGUAAAAAAAAUAUGUAUAUACCGGUAUUUAAAGAAUUUUAACAUAGUAAAAGUCUAGUGAGCCACAGUUAUAUUGCUAAGUUUAAACCAAGAGUUCAGUUGUUACCAUACAUACAAUGUUGCACUAAUGACUUAGCUAUUGGCAUGUGGAGUUAUUGAUGUCAACUAUGAAACUGUAUAUUAAUUUUUCUAUUUCACUAUGUCAAUAUUUAUUUUUACACCUUUUGUGUAUGUUAACAAUUCGACAAUUGUGAUAAUUUUCUUUGAUGAAGAUUUUAUCAAUGACUAGAAAUCCACUAAAUGUAGAUCUAGUGAUCACCAAAAGUG
rnacentral:sRNA from 1 species